GUGGGGAAUAUUGGGCAAUGGGGGCAACCCUGACCCAGCGACGCCGCGUGAGGGAAGAAGGCCUUAGGGUCGUAAACCUCUGUUGUGUGGGAAGAAGGAAGUGACGGUACCACACGAGGAAGUCCCGGCUAACUACGUGCCAGCAGCCGCGGUAAUACGUAGGGGACGAGCGUUGUCCGGAAUUACUGGGCGUAAAGGGCGCGUAGGCGGUCAUUUAAGUCAGCUGUGAAAUGGUCCGGCUCAACCGGAUCAUGCGGUUGAAACUGGAUGACUGGAGUGCUGGAGAGGCAAGUGGAAUUCCCAGUGUAGCGGUGAAAUGCGUAGAUAUUGGGAAGAACACCGGUGGCGAAGGCGACUUGCUGGCCAGCAACUGACGCUGAGGCGCGAAAGCCAGGGGAGCAAACGGGAUUAGAUACCCCUGUAGUCC
rnacentral:rRNA from 1 species